GUAAGUACAUUAAGAUCAGGACGAAACUGAUCCUCAUUCUCUCGAUUAUUUUCCAUAUUUCUCUGAGGUCCUUCAACGUUAGGACUCUUAUCAUUGUCAUCGCUCUCCGAAGAUGAUAGAUCUUGAGAGCAUUGGAGACUAUGCAAAGGUCACCACGUAGUUCGCUCACCAGGGCGGUAAUUUUCUGAGCAUCCGUAAGGACUUCAACAGAUUGUGUGUAAGGAUUAUAACGCAGACCAAAAGGACGUUGAAUUUGAUUAGCAAAGGCUCUGAAAAAGAAAUCAUCAAAACAUCAAUCAAUCAGGUAACAUCAGGCUCGAAUCGGAAUGUUUUCUCCGGUGUGGAAACUGCGUGUCUUAAUUCGGCUACUGAUGAAAGAAGACCAGCGCCAUAUACACGGAGUAUACCGUCUUGUUUGCAGAGUCCAAAUUCAACAGUGAAGAAAUAUAACUGGAAUAGUCAACACAUUGAUUAUAAUUAAACUCAGGAUGCUGUAUAUCCGUCGCUUCUUGAUUGAGAGAACGAAUCGAAUCAGGGCAAUUAGAUGGCAUUCAAUUCAACUCCCUUCAAUUCUAUCGCACCUAGAAGUCUCGCCUUAGGUUGAAAAACUCACUGGAUGAUCAGCAUCCAAUUCGAGCCCAUACAUGAGAACUUUCUGGGCCUGAUCCAGAUCAGCUAUUUUCCUUGGGAACCAGGGCAUGUUCACCUCACUGAAGUCUGCCGAAAUAUUCUCACCGAAACUUUGUGCUGCUGAUAACGUCGGUGCAUGGGGUACAUUUCCGGUUUGUUCGUACUGGGCUAAAUUAAUGGCUGCCACUUCACGACUCAACAUCC